GGUCGUGGGCCCCGGUCCGCCCUUCACGGGGUGUGUGUUGCCAGGGGUCUGCAGCCUUUUUCGGUGAGGUUGGUGUGGUGGCCUUAACUGGUCGCUGCAUUUUCAAUUCCCGUCUUUUACUGUGAGCAAAAUAGAAUGUUCAAAGCAGGCUUAGGCCGUUGAAUACAUUAGCAUGGAAUAAUAAGAUAAGACCUUGGUGGUUUUCUUUUAUUUUGUUGGUUUGCACUCCAAGGUA
rnacentral:rRNA from 1 species